GCGCCUGUACCCCAGCUGGCUAGAGGGCUACGACUUAGGAUCGUAGGGUCGUGGGUUCGAGUCCCACCAGGCGCA
rnacentral:tRNA from 1 species